rnacentral:tRNA from 1 species
CAAGACGUAGCUAAAAGUCAAAAGCAUUCAGCUUACACCUGAAAGAUAUCUGCUACUUACCAGAUCGUCUUGA